rnacentral:rRNA from 1 species
GAUCAUGGCUCAGAACGAACGCUGGCGGCAUGCCUAACACAUGCAAGUCGAACGAGACCUUCGGGGUCUAGUGGCGCACGGGUGCGUAACGCGUGGGAACCUGCCUUUAGGUUCGGAAUAACUCAGAGAAAUUUGAGCUAAUACCGGAUAAUGUCUUCGGACCAAAGAUUUAUCGCCUUUAGAUGGGCCCGCGUAAGAUUAGCUAGUUGGUGGGGUAAAGGCCUACCAAGGCGACGAUCUUUAGCUGGUCUGAGAGGAUGAUCAGCCACACUGGGACUGAGACACGGCCCAGACUCCUACGGGAGGCAGCAGUGGGGAAUAUUGGACAAUGGGCGAAAGCCUGAUCCAGCAAUGCCGCGUGAGUGAUGAAGGCCUUAGGGUUGUAAAGCUCUUUUACCCGAGAUGAUAAUGACAGUAUCGGGAGAAUAAGCUCCGGCUAACUACGUG